GGGGAUGUAACGGAUUCGACGGGGUGAUGGACGUUUGAUGUGGCAUGUCGUGCUUAGUCGGUGGCGCACGUAAAUUCAACUGACACAGCUAUAAAUGCUGACAAUAACUAUGCUCUGGCUGCUUAAUUAAAACGUAGCCACAUUCUUUUAAGGACUUGCCUGUUAGUUCUUACGAGGGUGACGCAAACAAACAGGAUAGUGUGUGUGCUCUCAUUCGGUACCCAUGCGAAAUAACAGAAUGAUAGGUUUUCGGAGACCCGUCCGUUGGUCACCCGAAGAAAGAAAAUUAGAAAGCGGAAUAAACAUGUAGAGGCUCAGAUUGAAACUCUUCGGACGCGGGUUCGACUCCCGCCAUCUCCACAA
rnacentral:tmRNA from 3 species